GGCAGAGUGAGGGAUGGAGCUGGUGACAGGUGGCAGAGUACGGAAAGGUGGGUGGCAGGGCAGAGUGAGGUGGUGACAGGUGGCUGAGUGAGGGUAUGACAGGUGGCACAGUGAGAGGUGACAGGUGGCACUGUGAGGGGAUGACAGGUGGCAGAGUGAAGGGAUGACAGGUGGCAGAGUGAAGGGGUGACAGGGGGAAGAGUGAGGGGGUGAUAGG